UCCCUGAUAGCUCAGCUGGUAAAGAAUCCGCCUGGAAUGCGGGAGACCUGGGUUCGAUCCCUGGGUUGGGAA
rfam:Ovis aries breed Texel chromosome 18, whole genome shotgun sequence.